UGAGCCAAGUUUAGGGUUUCUUAAAAACCCAAAGAUGUUUGAACUGAAGAGUUUGAUCAUGGCUCAGAU
rnacentral:rRNA from 1 species